GAGGCACUGCAGAGAGGCUUCACACUAUUGUUUAUUCCUAGGGCGACUGCAAAGCCAGGGUGAAAGGACAGAAGGAUCACUGCAGCAGAUGCGUUUUUAUAUUGCUCGAUUGGAAGCUGUCCUCAUGACCGCAGUCUGAACGUUAACAGAGAACCGUUCCGGCUGCUUUAACCGUCCUACUCGUAAGCAGCUCUGGAAAAUGAAGUUGCUGCUCUUUAGAACAUGCUGAUUUAGAGAAGCUGUGAUUCAUAGCCUGCUCUUGCCCAGCCCAGUCAGUCAUCCUCUGUAAGACUAUGAUGGCACCGGGCUGUACAAGAAGAGGUCUUCCUGGGUGCUUAUUUCUGACUUUGCACUGUGGCAUUCAUUUAUUGAGACGACAGCAAUGUUCGCUUUCUCCCGGGUCUCUAACUGUAAUAGCAAGGUGGUACUCUCCUUGCCUCCCGCCUGUGUUAGCCAACUGAGCAGGCAUUUCGCUGAGGAGGUGAUGCUGCCCCACCCCCCCUCUCCAGGCUCUCUGAGUGUGUGACAAAGUCAACAGGCAACCAGACUGAUAAAAGCAAAAGCCAAGUGAAGCAAAUAAAAACCCUGAGCUAUAAAAGUUUGCAGACGUGCCUCAGCCCGUUUGCUCUACGGACCCCAGAACAUUUGUCGCACUGAUUUUCAGAAAGAGAAAGCGUUGGAGUGACCUAAGAGGACUAUGAAGACCUUGCCUAUUGGGAGCCUGGGCACAGCCGCUGUUAGAGUGUAGCACUGUUCCCUGAGAGGAGUAGAGGUAUCAUAUCAGGUAGGAGGUGAGCAGGCAUGACGGAAGGAUGCUGGGAAAACAAUGUCCACAGCAAUGGGGCUGCUUACCCUUUAGGACAUUCACACUACUCUGCUAGGACUCCCAUUGUUAUCAUUCUGUCUAGGCUCCAUCCCACAGUUACCUGCAACAGACUCACCAUAAAACAAUAGACUCACUAUAAAAGGGUCUGAUUGCCUCCUCCUCACUCUCUUGCUUUCCCUUGCUCUUCCCUUCCCCUCUCUUCCCAUUCCCUUCCCCCUCUCUUUCCACGUGCUCAUGGCCAGUCUCUUCUCCUCUACUCCUGUACUUGUCUUCUCUCUCUCUCUCUUGCUCUCUCUCUCACUCUCUCUCUCCUACUCUCUUAACUCCCUUUCCCAUGCCCUUAAUAAACUCUAUUCUAUGGAAUAGUGUCAUGUGAUUGGUCCCUUAGGGGGAAGGGAUGUCUCAGGAUGAGCCUGCUUGACCACACCUCCAUAAAACAUAUACCCCAUCUCUUUAUCUUUCUAUAAAUACAUCACCCAUAAUAAAAUACCACAAACUGUGUAGUUUAAACUACAAAUCUGGAGGCUGGAUGUCCAAAUCCAAGGUGUUGCCAUUUCUCUGGCUGCUCUUCUUGGCUUUUGGGGCCACAACCUCACAGCCUCAGUCCUUAUUUAUUACCUCCUCAAAGUUGUGUCUCUAAACACAGCCACGUUAGAGGUUAAAAUGUCAACAUAGAAACCUGGUGUGAGAAAUGACUUUCCCCUGUAAUACUGCACUGUGGCUUUGAUAUUCACCUUGAUAUACAUUCUCUGUGGGUCUUCGAGACUAUGCUCUGGUCUUAACUCUGGCCCAGCUCCUGACCUGUGCCUGCAUCCACCACUGGAAGAUCCUGCACUGAACCAUUUGUUUGUCUCUGCUUGGUCUUCAGCCUCCUGGGUUAGCUUCUAACUGUGCUCAGUGGGAGUUUACCAAGGCCUAUCUCUCAGCCAGCCCCAUCCAUGGGAACGUUCAUACUCUCUCUCUCUGUCAGGUCUGAAUUGAAGCCUUGACACAGAGGAGCCAGUUAAUAGUAAGGGGAUAGUCAGAUGUAUGCUGAGUUUUGCUGAGUAUGGUGCAGAUAUUGCAAUUAACCGCUGUUUUUCUAAGAAUCAUCUCCAAAAGCAAUAAACAAAUAGACAAGUAAAUAAUAAAAAUAAGGGGCUGGAGAGAUGGCUCAGCAGUUACCAGCACUGGCUGCUCUUCCAGAGGACCCAGGUUCAAUUCUCAGCAACCACAUGAAAGCUCUCAACUGUCUGUGACCCUACUUCCAGGGGACUGUAGGCAGAACACCAAAGCCCAUAAAAUAAAAAUAAAAUUGUAUUUUUAAAGAGCAUAUUAAUAAAAAUAGAGAAAGACUGGCUAGGAUUAGGAACUUUUUAUCUGUCAGACUGAGCAGUUAGACUUCAUUAAUUAGGUAAAGAGAGUUCUAGAAAGUUUUUCCAUAGAAAAUUCAGAAGUAUAAGAGGUGCCCUGGUGUGACAAACAGCUCUCCAAUGAGAGGGACUUACAGAGGCAUGGGUUUUUAUUGCUGUUUUUUUUUUUAAUUUGAAAUUUUUUGAAAAUGUUUUUUUAAGAUUUAUUUAUUUAUUUAUAUGAGUACACUGUAGCUGUCUUCAGACACACCAGAAGAGGGUAUCAGAUCCCAUUACAGAUGGUUGUGAGCCACCAUGUGGUUGCUGGGAAUUGAACUCAGGACCUCUGGAAGAACACUCAGUGCUCUUAACCAGUGAGCCAUCUUUCCAGCCCCACUCUUUUUUGUUUUUGUUUUUUUAACUUGUGCUUCCUGUGUACUGAGGACCUGUUGCACUUGCACUGCGGACGUGCUGCACUGAGGACCGGCUGCACUGCAGACCCAAUGCACCGAGGACCCGCUGCAAUGUGGACCUGCUGUACUGCGGACCCACUGCACUGCGGACCUGCUGCACUGCGGACCGGCUGCACUGCGGACCUGGACCCGCUAUACUGCGGACCCACUGCACUGCGGACCUGCUGCACCGAGGACCUGCUGCACUGCAGACCCGCUGCACUGCGGACCUGCACUGCUGGUCCUUACGCUGGCGACCAGGAUGAUGGUCUUCCCCUUUGGGGAAGAAAAUAAAUGGCAAACAGUUCUUAGAGC
rnacentral:lncRNA from 1 species